CUGGCCUCUCCCCCAGACGGCGGACCGCCGCACUGCUCCGCGGUCGUGUUGCCUCAUGCCAACAGCCAACCCCAAACUUUGACGUCGAUUGACCGCCCUGGCACCCCUACGCGCAGCGCGGCCGGCGGCUCGACCCGCCUCCCUGCGCGCCAGGCUGCCGCGUGCCACCGGUCCGCUGCGGCGCCGCCCGUCGCCUCCCGCCGCCAUCGCCCACUGCAGCCCUCGGCCAGUUUCCAAUGGACUUCAGGUGCAACUCCAGUUGUGGAUGAUGGCAGUACGGGUUCAACUCAAACUCCAAUUUAUGUAGGAUCUUGUUGAUGUUGCAACUCUUAUAUACUAAUUUAUUCAAGUUCCAAACUAAUAUGUUGAAUUGAACGUAUUGUGAGAUCUUUUCAAUUACUUUAAUCUAAAUUCGCUUAUUAUGUACUGGAUUGUGGUUUGAAUUUUUUUUAACUAGGACUACCCUAGUUUCAAUUUCUGGGUCCGCCACUGAACGCGCUAGGUCGCGCAGCACGAGGAGGAGCUCGAUGCAGCGCCUCUUGUGUGAAGCGGUCAGACCGGUCACCGGUGAACACCAACGACAACUGACGAACACUCACCCGGGAGGGACCCGUCAUGGCAAGCGCGCGCAGGGUUGUUUUAAGAUCGGCAGGCCACCUAGAACGUCUUUAAAUGUCGCGGAGACGAAGGAAGAAUAGCAGAUAAAGAUUGAAAAAGCUAGAGUUUGGAGAAAAAGAUAAAGACGAUAAAAAGUAGAAGUUGUAUUGACUUUGAUCGA